ACAAGAUCCUUACAACAACCCUGGGAGGGGUGACAAGAUGAAUUAAAGAGAAGAAUGUACAGGAAAGUGUUUCAGAAAAAAAGUUUAUACUUCCUACUUUUCUUUGCUGAGGUAGCGGACUAUGGGUGUCGAUAUUGCAUAUACCAAACAAUUGGUUCCAUUGUUUAAACUGAGUUGAGAAAAUGUGCCUUUCUCCUUCCUUUCUGUGCGGAAGAAAUCAACCAUCCCUCUGGAAAAUUGGUUAGUUGUGCAGAACUGGUCUAGGUCAUCAGAGCUUAAAACUGCACUGAGUGCUGGGAGAUUAUAGGUCGAUAAAGAUAAGUGGGGGAUAGGUGGGGUGUCUGGGGGCUUGUGUUAUACAAGUUUAUUAUUAGUUAAACAGAAGAGGAGCUCAGAUGGAAAGGACUUCAGGGGUCCAAAAAGAUUCCCCUCCACAACCUGCCUCCUGACAAGUGGUCAUCCAGUUGUUACUUGAAGACCUCCAGGGUGGGGAAGCCCAUCACUUUCCUGAUCAACCCAUUCCAUUUUUCCAUCUUUCUUUCUAAACAGCCUAAUUUGGCCUCUUUGCAACUUCUAACCAUUGCCUUGUGGGGGGAGGGGGGAGGGUCCUGGGACAAGCAGAAAAAGUUACUGGUUCUUCUGGGUAAUGACCUUGAAAACACUGGCACGCAGUUCUCCUGUCCUAUUUAACUCCUUCCCUUCUCCAGAGUAAACAGGCUCCAGUCUCUCAACAAAUAGAUCCUCAGGGCCUUCCUCUCCAUCCUGGUUGCCCACUCCCGAGAAUGUUUCCAAUUUGUCAAUCUAUUUGCUUAA